AUUGAACGCUGGCGGAAUGCUUUACACAUGCAAGUCGAACGGCAGCACGGGGGCAACCCUGGUGGCGAGUGGCGAACGGGUGAGUAAUACAUCGGAACGUGCCCAGUCGUGGGGGAUAACGUAGCGAAAGUUACGCUAAUACCGCAUACGAUCUACGGAUGAAAGCGGGGGACCGUAAGGCCUCGCGCGAUUGGAGCGGCCGAUGUCAGAUUAGGUAGUUGGUGAGGUAAAGGCUCACCAAGCCGACGAUCUGUAGCUGGUCUGAGAGGACGACCAGCCACACUGGGACUGAGACACGGCCCAGACUCCUACGGGUGGCAGCAGUGGGGAAUUUUGGACAAUGGGCGCAAGCCUGAUCCAGCCAUUCCGCGUGCAGGACGAAGGCCUUCGGGUUGUAAACUGCUUUUGUACAGAACGAAAAGGUUUCUACUAAUACUAGGAGCUCAUGACGGUACUGUAAGAAUAGGCACCGGCUAACUACGUGCCAGCCGCCGCAGUAA
rnacentral:rRNA from 1 species